AAUCAACGUGAUUUAGAUGAG
rnacentral:snRNA from 1 species